GGAGUUUGGGAGGGGGAGCAGUGGGGUUUGAACUGGCGAUUUCACUGUUCACACACAGGAGAUCGCACCGCUUGGUGUCCCCAUGAGGACAUAAUAUUUAUUUUUACGAUAAUCAUAGAGUAUGUAAACUUCAAUGAUGCAGAUUAGUUUUCAAUUAUAAUAAAACUUUUUAUUAGAUAAAUUAUUAAACUAUCCUUACAAAAUUAUUAAUAAGGACCGACACUAUAAUAAUAAUAAUAGCCUAG
rnacentral:lncRNA from 1 species